rnacentral:tRNA from 1 species
UCCGGUGUGGUCUAGUGGCUAGGAUACCUGGCUCUCACCCAGGAGGCCCGGGUCGAUUCCCGGUACCGGAA